GUAGGUAUUUAAAAAUCCGAACUUCUGAACUUGAUAUCAUCACUUCACGUUUAGAGUUCCACGAAAAUGAAUCACAUAUUAAGAGGCCUUUACCUUUUCCUUCUCAUCAUCGCCUUCGCUUUUGGUGGGCCUAUACAAAAGGCCACAAUCAAGACUCCAAAGCCUCCAAUUAAAAAUGACAACAUGUUUAAAAAAAUAGUUGUCUCAAGAGCGAUACUCUGAAUACAAGGAUUCAAUGGUUGGAUAUUUAUUUAUUAUUUAAAUCAUAUUUUUUCAUCUUU
rnacentral:lncRNA from 1 species